UCCCAUUCCAAGGUCCAGAACCCUUCUGUGGACUACCAAAAAGCCACAUCAGAGAGGAACUCCGGACCUGGGAACUCAAUCAACUACAACUAUACUGGUCCAACACACCACGACAAAGGCAAGCAAAAAGGCUCAUAAAGGUGUCGCCUAGUGCAACACACCGCCUUCUCGAAA
rnacentral:lncRNA from 1 species